rnacentral:sRNA from 1 species
GCUGGGCAUGGUGGUGCAUAUCUGUAAUCCCAGCUACUCGGGAGGCAGGGCAGGAGGAUCACAAGUUGGAGGCCAGCCUCAGCAACUUAGUGAGACCCUGUCUC